rnacentral:sRNA from 9 species
AUAUCUUUCUGUACGGGAAGGAUGAGAAGCUUCGACUAAGGUUCGAUUCGAGCGCAGCGAGAAAGCGUUGCCGUAGGCAACGACCCGAAGGGCGAAGCGCGCAGCGCUGAGUCAUCCUUCCCCCACCACCA